rnacentral:rRNA from 1 species
CCUGGUUGAUCCUGUCUGUAGUAUAUGCUUGUUUCAAAGAUUAAGAAAUGCAUGUGCCAGUGCAAGCCACAUUAAGGUGAAACCGCGAAUGGCUUAUUACAUCAGUUAUGGUUCCUUAGAUCGUACCCACAUUACUUGGAUGACUGUGGUAAUUUUAGAGCUAAUACAUUCAAAUAGAAUUCUGAAAUGAAAGGAAUGCUUUUAUUAGAUCAAAACCAAUCGGGGCGGCCUUUCCUUGCUCACCGUUUCACUUGGUGACUCUAAAUAGCUUUGUGCUGAUUGUCUCCCUUAUCAACGGUCGAUGGUAGUUUCUGCGACUACCAUGGUUGUUACGGGUAACGCAAAAUCAGGGUUCAAUUCCAGAGAGCAAACCUGGGAAACGGCUACAACAUCCAAGGAAGGCAGCAGGCGCGCAAAUUACCCACUACCGGCACGAGGAGGUAGUGACAAAAAAUAACGAUACGGGACUCAUCCGAGGCCAUUAGAGGACCAGUCUGGUACCAGCAGCCGCGAUAAUUCCAGCUCCAAUAGCGUAUAUUAAAGUUGUUGCUGUUAAAAAGCUCGUAGUUGAAUCUGUGUCCUAUACUGUGGGUUCACCGCUUGCGGUGUUCAACCGGCAUGUCUGUGGGACGUCCUACCGGUGGGCUUAGCCCGUCAAAAGGCGGCCCAACUCAAAAUCCUACCACGGUGCUCUUCACCGAGUGUCGAGGUGGGCCGGUACGUUUACUUUGCACAAAUUAGAGUGCUUAAAGCAGGCUCAUUCUGAAUAUUGUGUGCAUGGAAUAAUGGAAUAGGACCUCGGUUCUAUUUUGUUGGUUUUCGGAAUUCCGAGGUAAUGAUUAAUAGUGACAACUGGGGGCAUUUGUAUUGCGACAUUAGAGGUGAAAUUCUUGGAUCAUCGCAAGACGGACAGAAGCGAAAGCAUUUGCCAAAUGUGUUUUCAUCAAUCAAAAACGAAAGUUAGAGGUUCGAAGGCGAUCAGAUACCGCCCUAGUUCUAACCAUGAACGGUGCCAGCUAGCGAUCCGCCAAAGUUCCUCUGAUGACUCGGCGGGCAGCUUCCGGGUAACAAAAGCUUUUGGGUUUCGGAAAAAGUAUGGUUGCAAAGCUAAAACUUAAAGGAAUUGACACUCUGCACAUUUCACUCAAAUUGUGCGAAUUUGAACAUUCGCUUAAUUGCGUUGUUCUAAGAAAAUGUUGUAUGUUGAUAUUGGUGUAUUUCAUCUUAUGUAUAAAAAUGGAGCUCUCUUUCAAUUGUCCGAUUAAAACUCGAAAACGGCUGAAUCGAUUUGGCCAGUCUUAGUCUUGAAAAAUUCGUGCCAAUCCAAAGAAAGUCCAAAAGGUGAGAAAUUAUUUCAAAUCUGCGUAGAAACUUUACAUUUUUAAUUCGAAAAUUUUUGUAGAAGCGUAAUUUAAAUAAAACAAUGGACGGUGGCAAUUUCGUGAAAUGUCAAACGCUUUUGACAGAUGAUGUUCAAUUACGUUUAAUAGGAUGUUUUACGCGAAUAUUAUUUAUUUAUGAUAAAUUUGUAGUAAGUAGUUUUGUUUGUAGUUUUAUUUAUAUACAAAAACGUUAGUAAACGGGCCGCAAGUGUUACUAAAGACUCAAAAUAUAAACUUUUUUGAUAUGUUAAUAUGAAAGUGCACUUUUUGGCAUAUUUUUUCUCAAACACGGUGCUCUGAAAGAUCUCAUUUGUAUAAUUAUAUACUCAUUGGUAUUUAUAAAACAUUUUCUAGGUUAUAUUAUUUUUUUAUGUUAUUUAAAUUCAAAACCUAAAUUUGGUAUCGAUCAAAUGGACAUUUUGUCGAAUAACAUUUUCCCAGCUAUAAUUUACCAGAAU